GAUGAACGCUGGCGGCGUGCCUAAUACAUGCAAGUCGAGCGAACAGAUGAGGAGCUUGCUCCUCUGACGUUAGCGGCGGACGGGUGAGUAACACGUGGAUAACCUACCUAUAAGACUGGGAUAACUUCGGGAAACCGGAGCUAAUACCGGAUAAUAUAUUGAACCGCAUGGUUCAAUAGUGAAAGACGGUUUUGCUGUCACUUAUAGAUGGAUCCGCGCCGCAUUAGCUAGUUGGUAAGGUAACGGCUUACCAAGGCAACGAUGCGUAGCCGACCUGAGAGGGUGAUCGGCCACACUGGAACUGAGACACGGUCCAGUCUCCUACGGGAGGCAGCAGUAGGGAAUCUUCCGCAAUGGGCGAAAGCCUGACGGAGCAACGCCGCGUGAGUGAUGAAGGUCUUCGGAUCGUAAAACUCUGUUAUUAGGGAAGAACAAAUGUGUAAGUAAAUAUGCACGUCUUGACGGUACCUAAUCAGAAAGCCACGGCUAACUACGUG
rnacentral:rRNA from 1 species